rnacentral:RNase_P_RNA from 2 species
UGAGGUCUCUCGAUGGCCGCGGCGGCUUCCUGGCCGCUGAGGAACUUCCGGGCUCCACAGAGCACGAUGGCGGAUAACGUCCGCCCAGGGUGACCUGAGAGAGAGCGCAACAGAGAGCAGACCGCCCACCGCAAGGCGGGUAAGGGUGAAAGGGCGGUGUAAGAGACCACCGGGCUCCUGGUAACAGGAGUCGCAUGGCAAGCCUCAUCGGGAGCAAGGCCAAGCAGAAGGCAUCAAGGGUUGCUCGCCCCGCCUUCGGGUAGGCCGCUGGAGCCUGGCGGCGACGUCAGGUCGAGAUGGAUGGCCAUCCGUCCCUUCGGGGACGACAGAACCCGGGGUAUGAGGGGCCUCACGCU